UACGUAGGGGGCGAGCGUUGUCCGAAGUUACUGGGCGUAAAGCGCGCGUAGGCGGUCUCUUAAGUCCGGGGUGAAAGGUUCAGUGCUCAACGCGAACAGUGCCCUGGAGACUGGGGGACUUGAGUGUGGGAGGGGGCAGUGGAAUUCCGGGUGUGGCGGUGAAAUGCGUAGAUAUCAGGAGGAACACCGGUGGCGAAGGCGGCACUCUGGGCCGAUACUGACACUGAGGAAGCGAAAGCGUGGGGAGCGAACAGGAUUAG
rnacentral:rRNA from 1 species